AACCUUAAAUAUUCUGCAACAAGGUCAUUAAAGAGAUAUAAAAGAGGUUGCAUAUGCUUUGCAGUUAUGUCACUCCAAGCUGUGGUUUGUGUUCAUCGCCUCUGACUGCUGCGGACUUCAUAGAGAGUCAGAUUUAACCUGACAAUGAAGGCUUUGGUGGUUAUCUUUUCUCUCCUCUGCCUAUUAUCUGUCGUCUUGGCCCAGCCACUCCUUUGGUAUACGGCACCAUCUUAUGGAUAUGCCUAUCAGUAUACUUACCCAGCCUAUUCUCCAUACACAUCAGCAUACGUACUACCAGCAUGGUACUUCAAACGAUAAGGAUAGGAUUUAGUCUAAAGAAUGACGAAUAAUUCUGGACUAUCGAGUUCUUCAAGUCUGCUACCUGAUGUGAUUUUUAACUCCUUUUUCAGCAACGCUCCCAUGUGAUGUAACCUCAUUGCUCUGUCCUCUGCAAAGUUUGUAGCUACUCUGCAUCUCAGCAAAGCUCCAGUUCCUUGAUUGCUUUCCAUCUGUUUAAAUGUUCAGUACAUUGUAAAGAAAACUCAAAGCUUGUGGGAUAAAAUAAAAGUUUAUGUGACAUGAA